AGUUGAGUUUUUGAAGAAAAGGCUGAAUUUCAUUUAUUAAUAGGGUUAAAAAAAAAACAUAACAAUAAUAGUUAAUAGAAGAUAAAGAAAAACUAACAAUUUCCUAGAAAAUAAAAGCAUCUCUUCGAUAAAACCAAAGAGAACCUAGCCGAUUUAAUGAGCUCAACCACAGGAGCCUAUUAGGAAAACAAACUGUCUCUUUCAGAAAAUGCAAAAUCCGAAGACCUCUAUCUCUCGAGCAAUCACAGCCAUCAACAGCUAAUUCGACGGGUCUGACCUCCGCCUAUCCUUUUCCACCGCACUAGCAGCAAACAAAGGCACCCUAUCCACCAGAUAAGUUGUUUCGCCCCUUCAAAUCCCUUCCGUAACUAGGAGAUGUGCCAAUCCGUUCUCUUUCCUUAGUACAUGUUUAAAAAUACAUGUGUCAUAGAUUUCGCUCAAAGAUUUUGCAUCUGUAAUAUACGCACUAAUGACAGAUCCAUCUUCGUUUUGUGCAUGUAGUUUCCUUACUAUAGUAAGGGAACCCAGAUAAAGGCCCACUUGAAUUGUCUGGAGGCAUGCAAGCGCUUCUGCCGCGAAAGGAGUAACUUUGAAAAGCAGCAUCAAAACUUAUCUUGGGUAAGGGUAGUUCUGGUGGUCUCCAUCGUUCCGAUUCAACUCUUUUAAUUUACAGGUAAUCUCUCAUUUAUGACUUCUAGUAUAAUUAUUAUUAUUAUUAAAUAGUAAUUAACUUGAGUUAGUAUGUACUUCGUUGUACGGUUAGAAAAACAUAUUAAAUUCAUGGACUCAUGAUUAGGGGUUACAUGUGAAUAAUUUCAAUAUAUUGUUCAUAUAUUUUCAUCAUGCAACACGUUACAAGUUCUUCAUGAAAGAAAAUAACCAAAGAAAACACAUAAAUUUUUUUUUCUAUUACAAGUGGUCUAAAAAGUGCAGCAACAGCAACGAAGAAAAAAAUAAAAAAUAUAAAACGAGGCACAUCAAAGCAAGAACACAAAAAAAAAAAAAUGGAAAAUACUUGUGUUUUCUUUAUGAUCAAACAUAUAUAUCUCCCACUCUCAUAUAUUAGUAACCAUGCACGAUACUACGAUACUUCUUCUUGAUCCACUUAUGUGCUUUCUUCAAAGAAGUUUUGAUCUUCCCUUCAAUGGCGUACAUUUUAUAGCCCGUAAGUCUCAUCUUCCUUUUCAUCUUUGGAUCAUUCCACCAUGACUUGAUUGAAAGAGACGAUGACUUCUUUUUCUUCUUAGGAACAGUCUGUUUUUGAUGAUGAUGAUCAAAGGAAGGAGGGUAAGUUGAAGCGUAGCAAGGCUUAUGCACGUAUUUCAACACGUUGCCAUCUAUGAUUUCGAGGUUUCGACCGCCAUCGCCACCACCGUAUACUUGGUAGGAUGAGGGCCGAAACUCAUCCAUCAAUUGAUGCCCCCAAACCCUUUCUUUGCUCUCUCUUGGUUUUCUUUUUCUUCUUCUUUUUCAAGCUUUUUUAGUUGAGAAGAAGAGAUAAGAGGAUGAUAAUGAAAGCUCCUUUGAUUACGGAAAAGAGAGGUGGAGGAAUGAAUGAAAGGUUGGUUCAUGACUAUUUAGGCUUCGAUGGUUAAUAUUAAUUUUACCUUUUUUUUUUGGUCUCUAAUAAAGAAAGGCAUAGUUGUAUUCGUUACCUUAAGGGUUUGCUUAAUCUAUGUUUAUAUAUAAGUUAAAAUUACCUGUAACAAA